CUGUCGCCAUAGCGCGCGCUUUGUGUGAUCUCGAUGCUUCGCGUAAGCCUGCUUGCACGAUGUUUGCUUUAGUGUGCUUCCGCGACGAUAACGUGAAGACUGUGUUCAGCGUGCACCAGAUGGAGACGUUCUGAACCAUAAAUGUCUUGGAUUUCGACCGAUUUCGACUCUACAAAGUGGCACCAAGAAUAAUGGCAAGACGAGCAACAAGGCACAUGUGCUCCGAUUGUUUGAAUCUUUCAGGCACUUCCUCGAGUGCGGAUGAGGCAGUCCAGAAGAAAUUGACACAAGACAUAGUUGCCUUGGCAAAAUAGUCGCCCGCAAGGUCGCCAACAUCAUCAAGGGCCAUAAGAAGCACUUGUAGUUUUGAUUAUGAGAAUAUAUUUGAACAUAUGCCUCAUUCA